CCUUUGUACACACCGCCCGUCGCUACUACCGAUUGAAUGGCUCAGUGAGGCUUCCGGACUGGCUCCAGGAGGGCGGCAACGCCAACCCAGAGCCGGAAAGCUAGUCAAACUUGGUCAUUUAGAGG
rnacentral:rRNA from 1 species